AUGACUCCGGAUCGGUUCCGGAGUUGCGGCGAUGGCGGCUUCCACCGGCGCGGAGGAGGCGGUGGCCGCGGAGGCCUCCACGACUUCCGCUCACCGCCGCCCGGCAUGGGCCUCGGUCAGAACUGCGGCCCCACGGGUCCCGGCCCCGGCCAGGGCAGCCCUAAGCCUCUGAUCCUGCCACCGCCUCCACACCAUCAGCAGCAGCAGCCACCACGGCAGCCACCACACCCACAGCCGCAUCAGCAGCCACCGGAAGCACCCAAGCCCGUCGUUCCUCAGGCACCGGCCCCGCUGUCGGCCUCCAGCUCUGCCCCGCCUGCCACUCUCCCGACCUCCGGGGCCCCUCCAGGGCCGGGCCCCACCCUGACCCCGCCGCCUGCCAUCACCUCUGAUCCCCUCCGGCGCCUCUACCGGCUCCACCAAGCAGCAGGGGCCCGAACACUCCCCCUCAGGCGGGGAGUCGCGGGGUGGGGGGCGCAUGCUGCCUCCACCUGCAGGGGGCCCGGGUCCCCGGCCCGGGCGGCGACAAAAUGCCUGGCGGGCCGGGCCUGAGCACGCCUGGCUGCCACCCCAAGCCGCCGCCUCGCCCCGUGGGGAGCCGCCAGUAUCACCCGCCCUAUCACCAGCAGCACCACCAGGGGCCCCCGCCCGGCGGGCCCGGCGAGAAGAUCUCGGACUUGCAGGGGUUUAAAGCCAACUUGUCUCCCUUGAGGAGGCCUGGAGAGAAAACUUACACACAGCGCUGUCGUUGGCUUGUUGGGAAUCUACCGGCUGGUAUCACAGAGGAUGAAUUCAAAAGACUAUUCGCUAAAUAUGGAGAACCAGGGGAAGUAUUUAUCAACAAAGGCAAAGGAUUUGGAUUUAUUAAACUUGAGUCUAGGGCCUUGGCAGAAAUUGCCAAAGCUGAACUUGAUGAUACACCCAUGAGAGGUAGACAGCUUCGGCUUGGAUUUGCCACACAUGCUGCUGCCCUUUCUGUUCGUAAUCUUUCACCUUACGUUUCCAACGAACUGUUGGAAGAAGCUUUUAGCCUGUUUGGUCCUAUUGAAAGGGCUGUUGUAAUCGUGGAUGAUCGUGGAAGAUCUACAGGGAAAGGCAUUGUUGAAUUUGCCUCUCAACCAGCAACAAGAAAAGUAUUUGAAUGAUGCAGUGAAGGUGUUUUCUUACUGACAACAACUCCCCGUCCAGUUAUUGUGGAACCACUUGAACGAUCAGAUGAUGAAGAUGGUCUUCCUGAAAAACUUGCACAGAAGAAUCCAAUAUAUCAAAAGGAGAGAGAAACUCAUCGUUUUGCCCAGCAUGGCACAUUUGAGUAUGAAUAUUCUCAGCGAUGGAAGUCCUUGGAUGAAAUGAAAAAACAGCAAAGGGAACAAGUUGAAAAAAACAUGAAAGAUGCAAAAGACAAAUUGGAAAGUGAAAUGGAAGAUGCUUAUCAUGAACAUCAGACAAAUCUUUUGCGCCAAGAUCUCAUGAGACGACAGGAAGAGUUAAGACACAUGGAAGAACUUCACAAUCAAGAAAUGCAGAACGUAAAGAAAUGCAAUUGAGGCAAGAAGAGGAACGAUGUAGAAGGGAAGAAGAGAUGAUGAUUCGUCAACGUGAGAUGGAAGAACAAAUGAGGCGCCAAAGAGAGGAAAGUUACAGCUGAUUGGGUUACAUGGAUCCAAGAGAAAGAGACGU